UCCUCUUUGAGCUGCCAUUCCAUCAGGGCAAGGUAGAAUGAACAUUAUGUCACAAAGACACCAUGUCAACAGUUCCCCAGGCUGAAAUGGGGGCCCCAUCACUCCUACGGGAGAUCCCCUUAAUCCUGCUUCAGGCUGCUGCUGUGUCUCAAACAUCUUAGCUCGGAGACAUGAUCAAGUUUUCAAAUAUGGAAAAUGCAUCUUAGAAAGUUUAGUGCUCACCCAGAAUCCUGCAGCUAUAUAUGGAGCACAAACCUCAUGGGUCUGACUCCAAAGCCUCG